rnacentral:rRNA from 1 species
AGGGGACUAGCGUUGUUCGGAAUUACUGGGCGUAAAGCGCACGUAGGCGGAUUUGUAAGUCAGGGGUGAAAUCCCGGGGCUCAACCUCGGAACUGCCUUUGAUACUGCAAGUCUCGAGUCCGAUAGAGGUGGGUGGAAUUCCUAGUGUAGAGGUGAAAUUCGUAGAUAUUAGGAAGAACACCGGUGGCGAAGGCGGCAUCCUGGACCGGCAUUGACGCUGAGGCGCGAAAGCCAGGGGAGCAAACGGG